CCUACGGGUGGCAGCAGUGGGGAAUAUUGCACAAUGGGGGAAACCCUGAUGCAGCGACGCCGCGUGAAGGAAGAAGUAUUUCGGUAUGUAAACUUCUAUCAGCAGGGAAGAAAAUGACGGUACCUGACUAAGAAACCCCGGCUAACUACGUGCCAGCAGCCGCGGUAAUACGGAGGGGGCAAGCGUUAUCCGGAUUUACUGGGUGUAAAGGGAGCGUAGGCGGGGCAGUAAGUCAGAAGUGAAAGGCCGGGGCGCAACUUCUGGACUGCUUUUGAAACUGGUGAACUUGAAUGCAGGAGAGGUAAGUGGAAUUCCUGGUGUAGCGGUGAAAUGCGUAGAUAUUAGGAGGAACACCAGUGGCGAAGGCGGCUUACUGGACUGUAAAUGACGCUGAGGAUCGAAAGCGUGGGGAGCAAACGGGAUUAGAUACCCGGGUAGUC
rnacentral:rRNA from 1 species